rnacentral:lncRNA from 1 species
GCCACAUGAUGUCAUAAUCUUUUCAGAAGAGAAGUAUUUUCGCCAUUCAAAAUUUUAAAUGAAAAAGUGAAACCGUGGCAUUAAAUGCAUGUUGGAAAAUGCUGGUUAUAUGGCCUAAUCAAGUGGGGUGGUGUAUUUUUCUACAUCGCAUGCAAUGUACCAAGAAUUUAUCAUAGAUAAUAUUGUGUCAUACACGGUGGAUGG